rnacentral:ribozyme from 1 species
UGCCCAACAGCUCCUAUCCCUACCUCCUCGUGGUACCGGCCGGAAACUACGAGCAACCUUAGGGAAGAUCGCGUAACCAACCUCCAGGGAAGG